rnacentral:rRNA from 1 species
GAUGAACGCUAGCUACAGGCUUAACACAUGCAAGUCGCGGGGCAGCAUGGGGGUUGCUUGCAAUCCCCGAUGGCGACCGGCGCACGGGUGAGUAACGCGUAUCCAACCUGCCCUUCACCACGGGAUAACCCGGCGAAAGUCGGACUAAUACCGUAUGUUGUCCAUUGACGGCAUCCGAUUUGGACGAAAGGUUUGGCGGUGAAGGAUGGGGAUGCGUCCGAUUAGCUGGACGGCGGGGUGACGGCCCACCGUGGCGACGAUCGGUAGGGGUUCUGAGAGGAAGGUCCCCCACACUGGAACUGAGACACGGUCCAGACUCCUACGGGAGGCAGCAGUGAGGAAUAUUGGUCAAUGGGCGUAAGCCUGAACCAGCCAAGUAGCGUGCAGGAGGACGGCCCUAUGGGUUGUAAACUGCUUUUAUGCGGGGAUAAAGUGGCCCACGUGUGGGUUUUUGCAGGUACCGCAUGAAUAAGGACCGGCUAAUCCCGUG